UACGAAGGGGGCUAGCGUUGUUCGGAAUUACUGGGCGUAAAGCGCGCGCAGGCGGUCUUCCAAGUCAGUGGUGAAAGCCCGGAGCUCAACUCCGGAACUGCCAUUGAAACUGUGAGACUUGAGGAUGAGAGAGGUGAGUGGAAUUCCCAGUGUAGAGGUGAAAUUCGUAGAUAUUGGGAAGAACACCGGUGGCGAAGGCGGCUCACUGGCUCAUUUCUGACGCUCAGGCGCGAAAGCGUGGGGAGCAAACAGG
rnacentral:rRNA from 1 species